rnacentral:rRNA from 1 species
UACAGAGGGGGCAAGCGUUGUUCGGAAUUACUGGGCGUAAAGGGCGCGUAGGCGGCCUGUUAAGUCGAACGUGAAAUCCCCGGGCUCAACCCGGGAACUGCGUCCGAUACUGGCAGGCUUGAAUUCGGGAGAGGGAUGCGGAAUUCCAGGUGUAGCGGUGAAAUGCGUAGAUAUCUGGAGGAACACCGGUGCGAAGGCGGCAUCCUGGACCAACACUGACACUGAGGAGCGAAAGCCAGGGGAGCAAACG